GGUAUUGUAGCUCAGUGGAAGAGCACCUGCCUCGCAAGUGUGAGGCCCUGGGUUCAGUCCCCAGCACCA
rnacentral:tRNA from 1 species